AGAGAGAGAGAGAGAGAGUCGGGGGUGGGGAGAGGAGCGCAAAUGAAUUUAGGGCUGCAUAUGCCCAUUUUUCUUGUAGUGCCAAUACAUGGAAAUAUAACUAGACUGUCUAAAGGGCUAAAAUUUAUCUUUUGGUGCCUAUGUCAGUUACAAGUAAAUGAUAAACACCCUGCUGACAUCCACUGGGUGUGCCUUUUGCAUGUAUGCAUCUAUGUUCACCUACGCACGUGCGCACCUUUGCACACGUGUCAUAGGCAUCUAAUCCGAACGGUCCAUGCGAUGCAGUAUCCGCUAAAACCCCAAGGGAAAAAAUUUUCACCCUGAUCUUAAACUCUGGUGGGCCAUAACAAAGAGAAAUGUAAAUUAAGGGAGGAAACUGUUUUCAUUUUUCAUGGCGCACCAUAGUUUUGGAUCAAAGUAAAAAUUGGGCUCAGGGAGGAGUUUCAUGAGGUGGUGCUUCAUGUGGACCGUUCAAAUUUUUGAGUCACAUCACCUAUGAUGAGUUCUUAAAAAAGUUCGCACAUGCGAACUGGUGCCUAGCUGAGCAUUCGACAUAUAGAGUCAUGCUCACAUAC